rnacentral:rRNA from 1 species
CUAUCAUCCUACGGGAGGCAGCAGUGGGGAAUAUUGCACAAUGGGGGAAACCCUGAUGCAGCCAUGCCGCGUGUGUGAAGAAGGCCUUCGGGUUGUAAAGCACUUUCAGUAGGGAGGAAGGUAGUGUAGUUAACACCUGCACUAUUUGACGUUACCUACAGAAGAAGCACCGGCUAACUCCGUGCCAGCAGCCGCGGUAAUACGGAGGGUGCGAGCGUUAAUCGGAAUUACUGGGCGUAAAGCGCAUGCAGGCGGCCUGUUAAGUCAGAUGUGAAAGCCCGGGGCUUAACCUCGGAAUUGCAUUUGAAACUGGCAGGCUAGAGUCUUGUAGAGGGGGUAGAAUUUCAGGUGUAGCGGUGAAAAUGCGUAGAGAUCUGAAGGAAUACCGGUGGCGAAGGCGGCCCCCUGGACAGAUACUGACACUCAGAUGCGAAAGCGUGGGGAGCAAACAGGAUUAGAUACCCUGGUAG